UACGUAGGGCGCAAGCGUUGUCCGGAAUUAUUGGGCGUAAAGAGCUCGUAGGCGGUCUGUUGCGUCCGCUGUGAAAACUCGGGGCUUAACCCCGAGCCUGCAGUGGAUACGGGCAGACUAGAGGUAGGUAGGGGAGAAUGGAAUUCCCGGUGUAGCGGUGAAAUGCGCAGAUAUCGGGAGGAACACCGGUGGCGAAGGCGGGUCUCUGGGCAGUAACUGACGCUGAGGAGCGAAAGCGUGGGGAGCGAACAGG
rnacentral:rRNA from 1 species